GCGGCUGAGAACCGAAGGGACAGGGGCAGGGUGAGGGAGGAGGUCCGUGCACGGCGCCCACGCUCAGCCUCACCACUUUCGGGCCAUCUGACCUCUCCUCCUCUCAAACCCAGUGGCGGGCAGCAGGACAGGCACAUUGAUGGUGACUUCCAUGAGUCUACUCUCAACUGGUCCCUAAGCCCGUGGAGGGCACAGUCUUCUUGUCACAUCUACCAUCACUGACUGAACGGAAACUGCUCUCCGGGUGUAAAGCUCAUUACUGUGAAGGGUAACAAAGCAGUGCGUGUGCCAGCACGCAGCAGACGCUUGAGAUGUGAGCCGGAGAGGAAAAGCAGCCAGGCAGCCGGCCCUCAGCCUGCAGAGGCGCGAACCCCCCAGCGGGGACAGGAUGCGCAGAGACACUGGCACUUCCCUUCCUUACCUGUACUUCCUUAAGCAGCUUGGACACUUGGAUGAAAUUCAGCCGUGUAUCAAUGGGGCAGUAAAUGCACUUCAUGGCCAAGGGCUGGUAGGGAGCCAGUGCUUCCAGGUAGGAGAA